CGGAGUAAUAACACGUAAAAAGACGACAUAAAAAUAUUAAGUUCUCAAGAGUACUGUAGAAGAGGAGGAAAGUGUGAGUGAUGGCCAACAAUGAAGAGCUACUGAGUAACAUGGAGGAUACUUUUUCAUAAUCAUUGUACUGAAUUCCAACACCUACACACAGGAUUCUAAAUCAUGGCUGCCCAUGGAGAAAAGUUCAGCUUUUCACUUUAUUCAGAUUGUCUCCAUUGAACCAAAAGGAUGGCAGUGUGCUACACAUUGUGUUUCCAUGCUCACUUCCAGGUAAUUUC